rnacentral:tRNA from 2 species
GGGGUUGUAGCUCAGUUGGGAGAGCGCUUGAAUGGCAUUCAAGAGGUCGCGAGUUCGAUUCUCGCCAGCUCCACCA